CAACCCUCAGGCCCCCGGGCCUGGCGUUGGGGAUCGGCGGAGCCCCCCGCGGGCACACGCCGUCCCCCAAAUACAGUGGCGGUCCCGCCGCAGCUUCCAAUGCGUAGUAGCAACACCUCGCAACUGGAGAGCGGCGCGGCCACGCCGUAAAACACCCAACUUUUAGAA
rnacentral:misc_RNA from 1 species